AUAGUAAAUCCUCUGAUCUCUGUGGCUGCACUUGGAGAAGUGUGGAGUAGAAGGGCUGCAUUUGUUCUGUACCUAUCUGUAUUGUUGCAUCAAAAGCCACCCAUGGAAAGGAUGUGAGCAUGUUUGGGAUAUUUUGACUACGCUGUUCUGCUUCAUAUGACAGAGGUAGAAGCAAACAGUAGUCAAUACAGGUAGCUGCAGGAAGCAGGGUGAUCUUUUAUCUCCACAGAAGAAAAUUGAAAGCUCCAGCUGAGUAAAAUGAUGAGGAAAUGGAAACAGAAUUGCUGGGUGAGACAAAUCCAGGAAUAAAGAGGCACAUUUCAAGAUUAAAUACAAACUAUAGUUUAAGAAAAUGCUU